GCAGAAUGGCACUUUGAACAAAGGUUGUCUUAUGAUGCAGAUAAAGUCCCAGGUAAUCUCUUGGAACUGCUCUCUGAAGAAUAAAUGAAAAGUAUGUCUAGGCAAGGUAAUGACUUUUAAUUUUUUCUCUUCUCCAGUGAUUAAUCUUUCAUGGUUACUUCAUGAAAUUCCUAGGAGGGAAUUUUAAGACAAUUAUAUUUCUUCUGGAGGAACUUCCAUUAAUUAGAUAAAGAAACUUCAGAAAAAGCCCCUCUUAGAGAUUCCAGGACGGAUCAGCAAUAUAGUGGGUAGGAGAAGUUCAGAAGGAGACCUUGGGUUCUGAGGCUUAUUUCUGAGGCCUUACAAUCUCCACUAAUUCGAAGCCAUAAGGCCUUCAGUAUAUCAAGAUCAGUGGAUCAAAGAAACAUCCUCAAGAAACUAAGAAACAACACAAGAUUCUCUCUGAUGAAAUGCUUAAGUAUAAGGAAAAUGAUGGAAGACACAGAAGAGCAGCAGAAUUGGGUAGAAGACUACUACAGAUGCCAGAUCGCCACUUCUGAAAGAAAGGCUUACGACAACUGGCUCUGUGUUUAAGCCUCGCAGAGGGAGAUGCAAGAGAAGAAGGCUGCCUACAAGCAGCACAGAUAGGAAAUGAUUGAAAAACAGAGAGUGCUGGAGAGACACAUUAGUCAGGAGCCAGCUAGUGGACAACCAGGCAUAGAGAAUCAUCCCCAAAGAGGUCAAUAUGGCUUUGGGAGGGCCCCUUUUUCAGGAUUGCCCUACUUGCUCUACUGCAUGGCUGGCUCUUCAGGACCAUUUGUGGGCUGCCAGACACCUCCUCUGCCUGGGUGGCCUCUGGGAACACGACCACUGCCUCCAUGCACACCACUUGGACAAGCUGAAAUUUGAAGAGGCCCCUGAGCUGUGACAGCCAUGCUGUGGCUCCUACAUAACUUGGAAAAGUAUCCAAUACAUUUUACGCUGCCUGCCCAGUGCUGCCUCAUCUGUCUCUAAUCUUCUGUAGUGUUUCCCCUAAUAAAGGUUUGCAGUCC
rnacentral:lncRNA from 1 species